rnacentral:rRNA from 1 species
UACGUAGGGUGCAAGCGUUGUCCGGAAUUAUUGGGCGUAAAGAGCUCGUAGGCGGUCUGUCGCGUCGGCUGUGAAAACCCGAGGCUCAACCUCGGGCCUGCAGUCGAUACGGGCAAACUAGAGUACUGCAGGGGAGACUGGAAUUCCUGGUGUAGCGGUGAAAUGCGCAGAUAUCAGGAGGAGCACCGGUGGCGAAGGCGGGUCUCUGGGCAGUAACUGACGCUGAGGAGCGAAAGCGUGGGGAGCGAACAGG